AAAAAUAUCAAUGGUAUUGGUAAGUUUUAUCAUAUAUGUCAAUUUGGGGCUUGGUUCUAAAACUGCGGCCAAGCAGGAUGCAUAACAUCCCCUACCAGAUGAUGGUUGUUACUUAGGUCUACCACGAUUGUAGAGGCUCUGAACCAUCUGAAAUAUAGAGAAAUUAAAAAAAGCAAAUAUGUCUUAAAUUGGUUGUAAACAAUAUAUGGGAAGGAUCCUUACAUAGGAGUUCGGUACAAGUUUAGACUGCACAUAAAUGAAGAAAGUUACUAAAUAAGGAAAAUUAC
rnacentral:lncRNA from 1 species